rnacentral:rRNA from 1 species
CACCAGCCCCUCGAGUGGUGGGGAUGAUUAUUUGGCCUAAAGCGUCCGUAGCCGGCCGGGUAAGUUUCCCGUUAAAUCCAGCGUCUCAAGCGUUGGACUGCGGGAAAUACUGCCUGGCUAGAGAGUGGGAGAGGUCAGCGGUAUUCUGGGGGUAGGGGCGAAAUCCUUUGAUCCCCGGAGGACCACCAGUGGCGAAGGCUGCUGACUAGAACACGUCUGACGGUCAGGGACGAAAGCUGGGGUAGCGAACCGGAUUAGAUACCCGGGUAGUCCCAGCCGUAAACGAUGCAUGCUAGGUGUUGGGUUGGCCACGAGCCACCCCAGUGCCGCAGGGAAGCCGUUAAGCAUGCCGCCUGGGAAGUACGAUCGCAAGAUUGAAACUUAAAGGAAUUGGCGGGGAGCACCACCAGGCGUGAAGCCUGCGGUUU